ACUGAAUUCGGUCAUGAAAAUAAGCUUUUUCCCAAAGGUGAAAGCAGCAGUGGUAAGUGCAACAUACAGAAAAUGUCCUUAAAUAAGAUAAGUCAGUUCUUCUUUUCUUCUUUUUUUUAUAUUAGUAAGCAUUGUUUUAUUUAUGACAGCGGAAUGCAUUACAAUUCUUAUUAUAUAGAGAGAGCACAAUUUUUCUUGGGUUUUAUACACAAUAUAUUCACACCAAUUCGUGUCUUCAUACCUGUACUUUGGAUAAUAAUGAUCACCACAUUCCAUCAUCAUUAAUAACUCAAUUUCCCCUCCCUUCCCCUCCAACCCCUCUGCCCUAUCUAGAAUUCAUCUAUUCCUCCCGUGCUCCCUCUCCCUACCCCUCCUUAUAUCAGAGACAACAUUCGGCAUUUGGUUUUUUGGGAUUGGCUAACUUCACUUAGCACUUUCUUCCCUAACUCCAUUACUAACUGGAAUGAAGACAGAGUUUGAGCACCAUUUUGUACCAUGAAAUGAAUUUGGAAACAUAGGUCAAACAUGAGAGAAUGAUAAAACAAAAGGAUCAGUGGUCUUUGAUAUUAUGGAAUAUCAAACUUGCCAUGGAUCUCCCUGAAAUUUCCCUUUUGGUGGUGGUUAGGAAUUGAACCAGGGCCUUGUGUAUGCUAAGAAAGUGCUCUAGCACUGACAUAUCUCCUCAGUCCUUUUUUAAAUUUUGAGACAGUGUCUGACUAAGUUGCCAAGACUGGCCUCAAACUUGCCAUCCUCUUGCCUCAGCCUCCCAAGUGUCUGGGAUUACAGGCAUACAUCACUGCACCUGGCUGUUUGAAAGAGCUCCUCUUAUUUUGGUUCUGUCACUAGCAGCUGAACUCAAUUCUAACUAUUUGUAGUACAGAGGAUAUGUUCUAGGACUCCUAGUGGAUGCCUGAAACCACUGACAACACAAAAUGCUGCAUCCUCUAGAGGGGAUGAAUCUAUGAAUUGUUUUUCCUCAUACAUAUAUACAUACAUACC
rnacentral:lncRNA from 1 species